CUCUAACAUGGGGGCACUUGCUGGAACGUGAUGGAAAUAAGUGCUUCCAUGUUUGAGCGCGG
rnacentral:pre_miRNA from 1 species